rnacentral:rRNA from 1 species
GCAAGUCGAACGAGAACGGGUAUUAGUUUACUAAUACUGUCAGCUAAGUGGCGCACGGGUGAGUAAUAUAUAGGUAACGUGCCUUGAAGAAGGGGAUAACGUUUGGAAACGAACGCUAAUACCCUAUAUGCCUUUAAGUCUUAAGACUGCAAGGGAAAUAUUUAUAGCUUCAAGAUCGGCCUGUACGGUAUCAGCUAGUUGGUGAGGUAAUGGCUCACCAAGGCAAUGACACCUAACUGGUUUGAGAGGAUGAUC